rnacentral:sRNA from 1 species
GUACACUGCAGAGGAGUAUCAUGUUUCAGAGUUGGUCAUGACGAUGGGGACGAGCCUUGUUCUACUCGGAUUUGCUUUCGGACCAUUGAUAUGGGCCCCGUUAUCCGAAGUGUACGGCCGAAUGACGCCUCUAUGGGUCGGCUUCGUUGGAUUCACCGUCUUCCAAAUACCCGUAGCGACAGCUCACAAUGCUGAGACUAUUUUGAUUUUUCGGUUCCUGAUCGGGAUAUUCGGCUCCUCCACGGGUGCUACCAUUGCGGGUAUCAUUUUUGACAUUUGGGACCCCGUCACUCGCGG